UGCGCUUAGUAGUCUUUCCUGCGAGAUAACACGCUCUUCAUUUACCAUAUUCUUUUAUUUGUUCACGAAAAAUAAAUCCUUUUAGUUAAAUAAAACUCGUCAUUUUUUUCUAUAACAGUGUCACCUACGCCUAGAACAGGAAUGGAUUAAAUGUAGAGAGGUUAUUCCUGGCGGUUCGAGAAUUACCAUGAAAGUAAAACAGUAAAUUUGACGAUUAUUCAUGGAAUAAACAAAAUCAUUGGAAAUUGUGAACUUCAACUAUGAUAUUCAAUCAAUGGGAAAACCGAAAAAGGCUGGAAUUAUUGGACCUGGAACGAUACAUUAGUGGAUAGACUGCGGUCCCUAGUGGGGCUGGAAUUAAACAUCGAAAAACUUGUCCUGGAACUCAUCUGUACUUGUACGUUAUACAUCGUCUCCAUAAGGGCGAAGCUGUUAAUUUUGAAUGAAAGAAAUUGCCUCCACCUUUAUUUUUUCAAUGUUUAUCACAAGUCACUAUGAAGAACGGGAAAACUUGUGCUCGUCAUUUUGUCGAGAAUUCUCUCAGCUUCUCGAAAAACAACGUUUUCCCAUCAAUUUUUGUAUUUUGGCUUAUAAAAUACAGCAUAAAUGUUUCCAACAUUUAUUUGGGCUUAUUACUCAUACCAAACGGAUAUUCUUUUGCUGAUUUCCACUGUAAAGCUGCGAGCAUUUACUAACAAAUAAUUUUUUGUGCUCUCAACAAUCAACUCAACAAAUACAAAUGUUAUUAAAAAAAAUCUCUACAUGUGAAGAAACAAACAUUCAUCUCCAUGAAUUCAUGAUCAUGAUAGGUUGAUAUUAGGAAAAACAAAAACAGAAACUUACAUUUGAACCAAUAUGAAGCUUCCAUUCGAAAGCUAAAAUAUUGGGAAUUUUCGUGGAUUGAAUUAGAUGUGAUCUCCAUGACAAAUUCCACUUUUUUCUGAAUGUAUCGGCGUUUUAUAUGAAUGUCGCAAAAGUACAAAGUUUUCAAAAUAUUCAGAUGAAACAGAAGUUUUUUUAGUUUAGAAAAUAUUUAACUCAGGUGUUUGGGACUGGAAUUUAUGGCUCCGGAACAAUACGUUAGUUGACGGAUCUUGUCCUUCAA